UUUACAGUUUCUAUGAAAAUCAAUCAGAUUGGGCAGAUAGAGUUUAAAUGCUCUGAAAUUGAAAUAUAACUAUAAGGUCUCGAGGGAUGGCGACACCUAUCCCCUCGAAUAUUGUACUUGCCCAAAAAAAAAUGUAAGAAUUAUUGUUCAACCUGCAGUGUAUGUGUAUGUCCAUCAGCACUGCCUAACUUGGGUAGCUGGCGAGUUUAGGUAGCAAAUUAAGUAUACAAAAGUUCUACACUCUUGUUAGUAAAGGUAUUUACCUGGGCGUGGUGUGGGUCUUUUUUUCCUGUGUCUAAUUUGUCUAACCUUUUGUGUUUAUGCUACAUUAGUGGGUAACCAGCAGAGAGUAGUUGAUAAGUCGAGUGUCAUACCAAAAGUUCACUGCAACGUUUAGUGGAUUAUAUUCAGUCGAGGUGCAUGUCGACAGUUCAAUAGCGUCGCAUAUUUGAAAUGUUUGAUCAGUUAAGUUGGAAGGAAAGUAUAGAAAAACUUUUGCUCGAAGGGAUAGUAUCGAAAGAAAAAAGCAUGGCCAGAAUAACGAAAAUAUUGAGCACCAACACUCCUAAUAACAGAAUCCAAUCUGAGAUUAAUCAAGAUACGUUGGAGCUGGAAGUAAUGGAGGUGGAGUUUGACUCGGAUCACGAUACCUGCACGGGGCUGUAAUUGUGAACAUAUACAAUGCUUCGAUUUGCAAUAUUAUGUAAUGCUGAACUACAAAGUUAAGUCAUGGAAGUGUCCUAUAUGCAAUAAAAAUGUUGGACUUAAAGACUUGAGCGUGGACGAGUACAUAUUUGAAAUUUUGGAGAUUACUACGAGCAUGUCGGAUGUUGAAAGGGUAGUAAUAGAUUUAACAGCUCGCUGGAAAAUAAAGAUUUCAAAACCGAAUGUUAUAGAUUUAACAUCUGAGGGAGACAAGGACUGCCAAAUUAUACACUCAAUAGUCAAUUUAAGUUUAGAAUGAAAUGCUUUCAACGGCUUCGAAACAAUUUCCAAUCGAAACGGUGUAAUAUGUAAAUGUUGGCAUAUUUCGAUUAGAACGAUUUUUGUGGCAUUAUGUAUGUACCUGCCCAAUCUAAAAUUGAUUUCAUUUCUUUACCAG